AGGAGGAAGGGGAAUGGAGGCCUGAGGUCGCUGACUGGGAUCCCAUCAGCCCCUAGAUGUAUUCUUCACCCACGUGGAGACCAGGAGCUCAGAAUCAAGGUGUCUUCCAGGGUUCCUGAAUGCACAGGACUCAGUUUUUCAGACAUAACAUCCAGCUAUGGGGAGCCCUGAAGGAGAACAGAGCACAACUUGAUGUGAAGAUGGCGGUAGAAAUGGUGGCACCUGUCUCCAUCCCCCGAUGCUGGGAUUGAAGUCACAUGACAUCAUGCCCAUCCUUUUAUAUGGGGAUUCGAACUCAGGUCUUCAUGCUUGCAAAGAACGAAAUGAUCAGAGGUGGGGUAGAAAUCCCCUAAUGUUUACCAUGACACAUUGGUCGUGUCUAAGUCGUGGUGGGGUUGCUUCACGAUACUCGCUCCUGACCAUCUUGCUCUGAAGCGAACAGCUCACGCCAUGAUGCAGCUUGAGCUACAGCUACAGGAAGCACGCUAGCAUGGGAAGCGCUGGUUUCAUUAAUAUCCCUCUUGGCAAAUGCCUCUACUAUGUUCCAAGUGAUGCGGUUCUUUAUGCUGGGCACGGUUCCUACAGUAAAUUUGCUACACAUGGCCGUGGUCCCUUUUUUUGGUGAGACCGUUGUCUCUUCCCUUUUUGUUCAUCUCGGAGCCAAGACCCGAAA